AGAAGUGCCACAUUGACUGGCACCCUCCUCCCAUACUGUGCCUCACAGCUGGCAGGAGCUGUUUCCAAGUCUCGCUGUGGUGAAGGUCAUUAAGGGACCUUCUAAGAGAUUUUCCAUGCUGAGAAAGACAUCACAAGAGACAAGGGGCAAGGCUUAUUUGUUAAAAGAAGGUUGACUAAGGAAACCUGGCGGAAAGAUAAUAGUUUGACAGAAGUAGCAAGAAGGGAGGGGGAGGGCUGGGGAUUUAGCUCAGGGGUUCCAGCUGCCUGCCCGGUAAGUGAGGACCCGCGUUGAGUUCGAUCCCUGGUACCAAAAAAAAAAAAAAAAGAAGAGAGGGAGAAUAAGUGAUGGGGAGUGCUGGAGUUACCUGCAAAAGAAGAGCAAGGCUUGAGAAUGGAUGUCUGGAGACCAACGAUUCUGUUUCUGUAAAGGCUCUGGCUCAUGCUUGUGAAUUCCAGUUUAUCCUCACUCUACUUUGCAACUGCCUGCCCUUGGACUUCAAGCACCAGCAUUAGAUGUGAAGACAACAGCCUUCUAGAAACUGCUUAACCAGCUGUCUUUGUUUUGUAUGGUGAUGCAGGACUGUAAAAAUGACUGUCCCUCCAAAUAUAAAGAGCCUAAGAGCUUUCAACAAGAAGAAAAAAGGAAAAACAGGUCAAAGCAUCAAGAAUCAGGAGCAGGAUUGAACUCGGGACCUUGCGCUUGCAAGGCAGGCACCGGAACCACUGAGCUAAAUCCUUGGCCCCAGACAACAAUUCUGACAGUGGAGCUGCCAAGUGAUUGAAGAGGGGAAAGCAAGUUGCUCCAGAACCUGGGAAGAAGCAAAAGGCUGGUGGGACUUUGAGAGCUCCGUUGUCUCCUGGGCACAGCAGGAGCAGCAGCAGUGAAAACAACAUGUUCCUGAGUGGGGAAGCAAGGUACUUCAUGCACAGGGUUUGUAAGGAAGGAGAUAACUGUCGUUACUCGCAGGACACCUCUCGGACAAUCCCUACGGUAUACUAUGCAAUUAUUUCCAGCAAGAGUACUGCGUGUAUGGAGAUGGCUACACAUAUGAGCACCGCAAGCCAUUGAAACAGGAAGAAGCAGUAGCUAUAGAUCUAACUGCAAAAGCACCCCUUGCCGCUGCCUCGAGUUCCUCCUCCGUCGCUGAAGCUCUCAGGGAGAUGAAUACAGGCGAGGCUGAGUCCAGAAAUGCAAAUUCCCCGCCCUAGGUACAGUACAGGGUCAGAGGACUGGGUGAAUGCCAUUGAGUUCUGCCCAGCCAGCCCUACUGUGACCACGCCGCCCCUGCCUGCACAAAGGUCCUGGUGCAGGGAUCAGUGCCCAAGGCAGAGUCUGAGGAGCUGGCUACGUGGAGACCGAGAAGCAGCUCUGCCCCUAAGCGCUGUGGGAGAACUGCGUGUGGUGACACCUGGGACAUGUGCGGGCUGCAGGUCCAGCUCCUGGUGGAUACAGUCCAGAGGUCCCAGCAAAUAAAAUCUUGCAUCGAGGCCCAUGAGAAGGACAUGGAGCUGUCCUUUUCGGUGCAGUGCAGCAAGGACAUGGUGUGUGGCAUCUGCAUGGGGUACGAGAAAGCCAACCCCAGUGAGCGCCGCUUCGGCAUCCUCUCCAGCUGAGACCAUACCUGGUGUCUCAAGUGUAUUCGAAAGUGGAGGAGUGCUAAGCAUUUUGAGAACAAGAUCAUAAAGUUCUGGGCUGAAUGCCAGAUCACAUCUACAUUUGUCAUUCCAAGUGAGUGCUGGGUGGAGGAGAAAGAGAAGCAGAAACUCAUUCAGAAAUACAAGGAGGCAAUGAGCAAAGGCAUGCAGGUAUUUUGAUGAAGGCCAUGGGAGCUGCCCAUUUGGAGGAAACUGUUACUAAAUUUUUUUUUUUGGUAUAGGGGAUUGAACUUGGGACCUUGCACUUGCAAAGCAGGUGCCGGAACCACUGAGCUAAUUCCCCAGCCCUUGGAGGAAACUGUUUUUACAAGCAUGGGAACCCUGAUGACUUAAAGAGGAGCCACAGAGACAGAAAGUGGGAACAUCAAGCAGAUACUGGGUCCAACAGAGGAACCACUUCUGGGAGCUCACUGAGGAAAGAGAGAACAGAAGCCCCUUUGACAAUGAUGAAGAAGAGGCUGUCACCUUUGAGCUGGAUAAGAUGUUGCUUAUGCUUUUGGCUGCAAGUGGGGGCAAUGAACUGACUGACACUGACAACGAGUGGGACUUGUUUCACGAUAAGUUGGAAGACUUUUGUGACUUGGACCUCUACCGGCUUUGCAUGGCCUGGGAUCGGCCUACCGAGCCUCAAACAGUAGAUGUCCCCUGUGCCGUAUGGCAGUGAGUUGCUCUCCUACUCAGGCCUCAACUCCAGGUGCUGUCGUGACCACUUACCGGGUCCUACCCCACCCCACUUCCCCAAGACUGUGUCAUUUUCUUGGUUGCAAAAAGUUACAAAAACAAAUCUUCAAGUUAGAAAAAAAAAAGAACCAGUAUAGCUGAACAUGGUGGCACACACUUGUAGCAAGAUCCUGUCACAAAGUAAAAUGGGCUGGGGAAGUAGGUCAGUGAUAGAAAGUCUCCUGGGUCCCAUCCCCAGAAAUGGGGGGAAAACAUCAGAGUGGUACAUUGGCUUCUACUGAAGACAUUGAAUAUUAGAUCACUAUGAAGUUUUGAAUUUAAAACUUAUGGGGGAACAUGAUGUUUAUAUUUAUCCUAAAUAACUAUGUAAAGGUAGUAUAGAGACAUGCAAGUGCUCUGAUGUUUUACUUCCCCAGCACUCAGUCCUAGGACACUCCUGGAGGAUACAUUUUAGCAAAAUGAGGAUGCGUGAUAUGAAAGGAAAAGCUCUGCACCAUGGAAACUGGAGAAACCCAGAGGAGCAAUGAGGACAGGCCCAGCAAGACCCAUGGCAUAGGGUUGUACAAGAAAGAAAACAGAGUAAUGGAAGUCACCAUAAUACCUAAAAUUGAUGAACUAUGACAUAGUAGCAUGUGCAUACUAUUUAGAAAAGUGGAAGAAAACAAGAAAAAAACAUUUCAGAGAGUUGAAAUUGGUUGGUCCUGGAGGAUGGGUAAAGGACAGUUGUGUUUUGUCAUGAAUCUGUGGCCUUUUUGUUUUUAUCUAUGUACAUUACUUGAUAAAAAUGGGAACACUUAUGUACUGCUGAUCCAAAUGUAAGAUGGUGCAGCCAUUAACCUUAGAAAGUUAAACACAGUUACACUAUGUCAGGGUUUGGAGGUGCUAUGUUGCUAUGUCCUCCAGGGCUCAGGGGCUUGGUCUCUACUGCAGCAAUAUUCAGAGAGGGUACUUUUUGGAACCAGAUGGAUCAUGAGGACUCUAACUUCAUCAAUGGAUAAAUCCAUUAAUGAAUUCAUAGCUCAAUGAGCUUAUUAGGAAGUGGAGUCUAGUUGGAAGAAGCAAGUCACUGGGGGUAUGGCUUUGAAGGGUGUAUUUUGUUCCCAGCCCCUUCCUCUCCAGCUCACUCUGCUUACUGACUGCCUUGAUGUGAGCAGCUUUAUUCUGCCAUGCCCUUGUGCCAUUCCUUGUGCUACGGAAUACAGAAUACAGCAAUGGAAGCAGAUACCAUAGACUGACACUUCCGAAACUGUGAGUCAAAAUUAACAUUCUUCCUUUAAGCUGAUUUUCUCAGGUAUUAUAUAACAGUGACAAGAAAGUUAAUACAGCAUACAACCCUGCAAUUUCAUUCCUAGCUAUAUAGCCAAGACAGGUGUUUGCAGGAAUAGUUCUGUAGCAUUCAUAAUAACCAAAAAUGCAAACAAUACAAAUGUUCAUCAGUUGAUGAACAGAGAAAUAAAAUGUGGUAUGUACAUCCAUACAAUGGAAGACUAUUCUGUAAAAAGGAAGGAAAUACUGAUACAUAUUACAACAUGGUGAAACACAAAAGGCCGCAUAUUAUAUAAUUCCAUUAAUGUCAAGUGUUCAGAAUAGGCAACUCUAUAUACACAAAGUUAAUUGAGUAGAUUAGAGAUGUAGCUCAGUGACAGAGUGUGUGCUUAGAAUGGACAAGGGCCUGGAUCUGAGCACUGCUAAAAAGAGUUUAUUGGUUAGCUAAGGGUAGGGGGAGGAAGAGAUGAGGAGUAACUGCUAAGGAGUAUGGGAGUUCUUUUUUGGGGUAAUGAAAGUGUUCUUAGGGCCAGGGAUUUAGCUCAGUGUUUCCAUCACCUGCCUUGUAAGCACAAGGUUCCGAGUUUGAUCCCCAGUACCCCCAAAAAAGUGUUCAUGUGAUGUUUGCACAACAUUGUGAAUAUAUUUUAAAACUACUAAACUGCACACUUUAAAAAAGGCCAACUGGUGAAUUUCAUGUCAAAUUUUAUCUCAAUUAAAGAUAAAUUUAAUUAUAAC
ensembl:lncRNA